rnacentral:SRP_RNA from 1 species
CAUGUUGAUCGGGCGUCCACGCUAAGCACGGUGCCGAUAUGGAUGGUCAGUCGGAAGGCAGACUGUCCAGGUCGCCUAAGGAGGGGCGAACCGGCUCAGGGGGGAAACUCAGCAGGCAAAAGUCGCCGCGUGGUGCAGUAGCGGGAUAGCGCCUGUGAAUG